GCGGCGUGCUUAACACAUGCAAGUCGAACGGAAAGGCCCUGCUUUUGUGGGGUGCUCGAGUGGCGAACGGGUGAGUAACACGUGAGUAACCUGCCCUUGACUUUGGGAUAACUUCAGGAAACUGGGGCUAAUACCGGAUAGGAGCUCCUGCUGCAUGGUGGGGGUUGGAAAGUUUCGGCGGUUGGGGAUGGACUCGCGGCUUAUCAGCUUGUUGGUGGGGUAGUGGCUUACCAAGGCUUUGACGGGUAGCCGGCCUGAGAGGGUGACCGGCCACAUUGGGACUGAGAUACGGCCCAGACUCCUACGGGAGGCAGCAGUGGGGAAUAUUGCACAAUGGGCGGAAGCCUGAUGCAGCAACGCCGCGUGCGGGAUGACGGCCUUCGGGUUGUAAACCGCUUUCGCCUGUGACGAAGCGUGAGUGACGGUAAUGGGUAAAGAAGCACCGGCUAACUACGUGCCAGCAGCCGCGGUGAUACGUAGGGUGCGAGCGUUGUCCGGAUUUAUUGGGCGUAAAGGGCUCGUAGGUGGUUGAUCGCGUCGGAAGUGUAAUCUUGGGGCUUAACCCUGAGCGUGCUUUCGAUACGGGUUGACUUGAGGAAGGUAGGGGAGAAUGGAAUUCCUGGUGGAGCGGUGGAAUGCGCAGAUAUCAGGAGGAACACCAGUGGCGAAGGCGGUUCUCUGGGCCUUUCCUGACGCUGAGGAGCGAAAGCGUGGGGAGCGAACAGGCUUAGAUACCCUGGUAGUCCACGCUGUAAACGGUGGGUACUAGGUGUGGGGUCCAUUCCACGGGUUCCGUGCCGUAGCUAACGCUUUAAGUACCCCGCCUGGGGAGUACGGCCGCAAGGCUAAAACUCAAAGGAAUUGACGGGGCCCCGCACAAGCGGCGGAGCAUGCGGAUUAAUUCGAUGCAACGCGUAGAACCUUACCUGGGUUUGACAUGGAUCGGGAGUGCUCAGAGAUGGGUGUGCCUCUUUUGGGGUCGGUUCACAGGUGGUGCAUGCCUGUCGUCAGCUCGUGUCGUGAGAUGUUGGGUUAAGUCCCGCAACGAGCGCAACCCUUGUUCACUGUUGCCAGCACGUUAUGGUGGGGACUCAGUGGAGACCGCCGGGGUCAACUCGGAGGAAGGUGGGGAUGACGUCAAGUCCUCAUGCCCCUUAUGUCCAGGGCUUCACGCAUGCUACAAUGGCUGGUACAGAGAGUGGCGAGCCUGUGAGGGUGAGCGAAUCUCGGAAAGCCGGUCUCAGUUCGGAUUGGGGUCUGCAACUCGACCUCAUGAAGUCGGAGUCGCUAGUAAUCGCAGAUCAGCAACGCUGCGGUGAAUACGUUCCCGGGGCUUGUACACACCGCCCGUCAAGUCAUGAAAGUUGGUAACACCCGAAGCCGGUGGCCUAACCGUUGUGGGGGAGCCGUCGAAGGUGGGACUGGUGAUUAGGACUAAGU
rnacentral:rRNA from 1 species